UUUUUAUUUUUUUUAUUGCUUUAUUCUCAUGUAUUUUCCACAUAGACAGCAAUAAGAUCUUUAUCACUCAUCCUUCUGUGCUUCUCCUGCACACUGUUCCAGACACUUUGUCCUGAGAAAUAAGCAAAGCACCUUUACUAUUAUUACACCCAUCUGUAGGAGUGAGAGAGGAUGUUCCUGUUUGUCUAAGGAAAACUUUCCAAUGUUGAAGACAGGUGGUUUCUUUCUAUUUGGGGGAAGGAGCAAACUUCCCAGCUCAUUUCUGAAUUAGUUUUAAGUUUGUUUAAAAAUCAGACUUUCACUCAAACAGAUGCAGCUCACAAAAUGUGUUCUUCACCGGUCUUAGUGAUACAUCUGUCCCUUCAUUCAUAUCCCCACAAAUCCAAACUAUUGUAAAGCCAAGACGCCCAUUACCAAACGGUAAAGCAGGUCCAUUAUGUAGUGCAGUUGUGGUACUGAACAGCAUGCAAUAACUGCAUUCACAUUUUGAAAUGUAAUGAUAUUGAUCGAUACUGCCAUGGAACCAACAGCUCAAACAGCAAUAGUAACAACUGCAAUUAUAUUAUUUAUAGUUUUUGCAAACAUAAUCAAGUUUAUCCUUAUGACCAUAAGUAAGUUUUUGUCAAUCAUUUUCCCCAGUUAUCAUAAGCAGUAUGAUAAUUAUCCAUCCCAGCUAGCUGCUGUACACUUCAGGCUAUUUUGAGCUGUUAAUGGUGAAUUCUAUAAAUGUCCAUUGAGCCUUCAAUAUGAACUAAUUGAAGAAUAUACAAAUGAAUGCACAGAACAAGCUGGACUUUAUUUAAGCCUGUACUCAAAGAGAAAUUAGAUUUGAUGUUUGAAAUCACUUUUGUGUAUUAAACAGAAUAAAGAUGUGACUUUAUGUUCAUUGCCAUACUGUGAGCCGUCACUCUCCCUUCUGUUUUAGAGCAACACUGAAGAAAACACACAUCCAUUAUUCUGUAUUUAUAUGUUAAAGAAGAUAUAUAGACAUAUAUUCAGCAUAUACACAUACAUAUAUCGGUCAGUCUGACCUAUAGGAAAUCUUUGUCUUUGAUAUGUCACAUUUUGAUCAAAACCUAACUUUUACAAACAGGGGUUUGUGCCUAUUGAUUUGAUCAGUUCUCUUUAUUAAUAGGUUAUAAAGAGUAUUGGAGAAUAUUCCAAUGCUCUAUUCCAAUGCUCUGUUCCACAGAUCAGAAGUCAUUUGUUAAUAUUUCAGAUUUAAGGCAGCGUUUCUGAGAUCAUAAUCCAACGUUAUUCUUUCUUAGCCUGAUCCCUGUCACCCGCUCAUUCCAGAACCAAAAUGACUGGUAAUACGUUUUCCAACAUAAUAAAGUAAUCACAAUCCUAAAGACCUGCAGACAUUGGCCUCCUUUCCACUGACAUGGCCUAACCUGUAAAUAAUCUAAUAAUGUUUCAUUUAGUAUGAAGAAAGUAUUUAUUUUAGAUCUGGAAUUUCUUUUUUUUUUUCCUUGUGUAAUAUUUUGGAUUCAGUACAAAAUUAUUGUGCAUGUUUUUUUGUUAAUAUUCUGCUUGCCUUUUAAUUUUAGCUAAAUUGUAUUUUUUGACUAUCUUUUCGAUGCCUUUUGAGACAAAGACCUGGUUAAGAUCAGAUCCAAGCUUUGACAAACAUGGAUGGAAUCAACCUGGCUGGUUGAAGUAGUAAUGAUUUGAUUCACUGUACUGUUAACAGUCACAGAUAUGUUUUUUCUAACAUUUUAACAGUUAUGAUUACAAAUACUUUGUAUAUCUUUAUUGCAAUAAAUGAAUCAAAUGAAAUCUG